AUCCUGGCUCAGGAUGAACGCUAGCGGCGCGCUUACCGUAUGCAAGUCGAACGAUGAGGUCCCUACGGGGGUACAUCCCUGGCAGACGGGUGAGUAACACGUAGGUAACCUGCCCUCGAGACGGGGAUAUCGGCUGGAAACGGUCGCUAAGACCCGAUAUAGUCUGACCUUCGGGAGAAGGUGAGAGGAAAGGCUUCGGUGCUCGGGGAGGGGCCUGCGGCCCAUCAGCUAGUUGGAGAGGUAACGGCUCCCCAAGGCAAUGACGGGUAGGGGGUGUGAGAGCAUGGCCCCCCCACUGGGACUGAGACACGGCCCAGACUCCUACGGGAGGCAGCAGCAGGGAAUAUUGGGCAUUGAACGGAAGUCUGACGCACCGACGCCCCGUGGAUGACGAGGGCCUUCGGGGUGGGAAUCCUUUUCCCGGGCGAUUGAAGAAGGGACCUAGCCUUGGGAAUAAGCGGCCGGGUUAACUUCGUGGCCAGCAGCCGCGGUAAGACGUAGGACGCGAGCGUUAUCCGGAUUUACUGGGCGUAAAGCGCCUGCAGGCGGUCAGGUAAGUCGGUUGUGAAAGCCCCGUGCUCAACGCGGGGAGGCCAAGCGAUACUGCGUGACUUGAGGGCGGAAGAGGGGAGUGGAAUUCCCGGUGUAGCGGUAAAAUGCGCAGAUAUCGGGAGGAACACCAGUGGCGAAGGCGGCUCCCUGGACCGCACCUGACGCUCAGAGGCGAAAGCUAGGGGAGCGAACAGGAUUAGAGACCCUGGUAGUCCUAGCCCUAAACGCUGGAUGCUAGGUGUAGGGCUGAUGAGGCUCUGUGCCGGAGCGAACGCGAUAAGCAUCCCGCCUGGGAACUACGGCCGCAAGGCUAAAACUCAAACGAAUUGACGGGGACCCGCACAAGCAGCGGAGCGUGUGGUUUAAUUCGAUGCUACACGAAGAACCUUACCUGGGUUUGACAUGUUGGUGGUACCGAACCGAAAGGGGAGGGACCCUUCGGGGAGCCAACACAGGUGCUGCAUGGCUGUCGUCAGCUCGUGCCGUGAGGUGUCGGGUUAAGUCCCGUAACGAGCGCAACCCUUGCUCUUAGUUAUACGUGUCUAAGGGGACUGCCGGCGACAAGCCGGAGGAAGGUGGGGAUGACGUCAAGUCAGCAUGGCCUUGAUAUCCAGGGCUACACACACGCUACAAUGGCCGGUACAAAGGGCAGCCAAGCCGCGAGGUGGAGCGAAUCCCAGCAAAGCCGGUCCCAGUUCGGAUUGCAGGCUGCAACCCGCCUGCAUGAAGUUGGAGUUGCUAGUAACCGCGCGUCAGCCAUAGUGCGGUGAAUACGUACCCGGGUCUUGCA
rnacentral:rRNA from 1 species